UAGCACGAACCAUGGUAUCACAUUCAUUUUACAGUGAAUUUUUAUGUGACCAUGUACUUCAUGGUAAAAAGAACGUCCGAGCGUAAUUCAAGAAUUUGCACACUCCGAGUUUUUCGUGUAAGGUUGAUAUUUUGACAGCCGCGCCGCGGCACGUGUUUUUUUUUCACUUCUUCCAUUCUCGGUCGACAAUCGGUUUUCUCGAGGGUUUUUUUUUGUAACUUUUAAGAAGUGUUCGGAAAUGGGCGCAACGCAAUAUAAAACGGACACACAGCGAGUGGCACAGGAUGCAGUAGCCAACGAAUGCCGCGAGCAGCAAUGGGAUGCAGGAUGCAGGAUGCAGGAGUGUGUGAGUAAAGUGUUCAGAUUUUUUUAAUAAAUAGUUAAUUUAAAUAAA